AACCCAUACGUUAAGUUAAGAAUGUUAAAAUUGUUAAUUUAUUAAAUCUUGAUGAAUAGGCCAAUAGGAUUAAAAAAAAAAAGAAUUAGCGCUUUUGUGCCCUCGUCUGAUAAAUCCAACGAAAUGGAACAUGAAUGAAAGCGAACAGAUACACGAACGAAGCACACAAGCGCGUCCGAUGAUUCAUCUGCCGAGAAGGAAAUAGGAGAACGGGGGCAGCUUAUGCUCCCAGCGACGGGAAAAGGCACCUCUGGUCCUUAGUUUCCUCUGAUCGAGAAGGCUAAUCACGAACGAAGCAGUGACAGGGAAGGCUCGGUGGUGGAAGACCCGUUGAGAAGAAGAGCACCUCCGGUUCCUUAUUGGUUUGUAGAGGGGGAGUAACGAAAGCAGCAAGGGCUGCUUAAGCAGCUCCUGCGCUUCUUCUGUCUCGGAAGGAAGGUGCGAAGGUGGGGAAUCAAAAGGGGCUUCCAGUCUCCGAUGUUCGCUCCGGGGAAACACCCACUUUGGUCGUUUUGCUCUCGGUGGUUGAAAGGGGUGUUUGUGGGAUUGGCACUCAACAGAAGUAGUAUGAGGAGGAGGAGUAUCAUGGCGGCCGGCAGCCUCUUCUUUUGGCUGGUGGUGAACAGGGGGGAAAAGAAGGAGGGCAACGUUGUAGCCAUCGAACAAGAGGAGGUGUAUUGGUAGCUCCAAUCGACAGGAAAGGGGGUACAAGAGAGGUUGUCGCCUCCUUGUUUUCACCGGGAAUCAACACACCUUCGGUGUGUUUCUGAACAGCCAAUGUGAAAAAAAAAUGGGGUCUAGAGAUUUUGUGGGAAUAAGGUGAGAAUGAUUAAUUUCUGCAAUAUGUGAUCUUCACUCAGAUUUUGGAAGACAUUUGAUGGAUUUGUGGUACUAGGAAAAUUUUGAAAGGAUUUUGAGAGUACAAUACAUUCAUUGAUUCAUAUGUGUAUAAGUGUGAUGUAUUGAUUGUGUAUUUUUUUGUAUAAAUAAAAUACAUGAGUUUGUGUGA